AUUGAACGCUGGCGGCAGGCCUAACACAUGCAAGUCGAGCGGUAGCACAGAGAGCUUGCUCUCGGGUGACGAGCGGCGGACGGGUGAGUAAUGUCUGGGAAACUGCCUGAUGGAGGGGGAUAACUACUGGAAACGGUAGCUAAUACCGCAUAANGUCGCAAGACCAAAGUGGGGGACCUUCGGGCCUCAUGCCAUCAGAUGUGCCCAGAUGGGAUUAGCUAGUAGGUGGGGUAANGGCUCACCUAGGCGACGAUCCCUAGCUGGUCUGAGAGGAUGACCAGCCACACUGGAACUGAGACACGGUCCAGACUCCUACGGGAGGCAGCAGUGGGGAAUAUUGCACAAUGGGCGCAAGCCUGAUGCAGCCAUGCCGCGUGUGUGAAGAAGGCCUUCGGGUUGUAAAGCACUUUCAGCGGGGAGGAAGGCGNUNAGGUUAAUAACCUNANCGAUUGACGUUACCCGCAGAAGAAGCACCGGCUAACUCCGUGCCAGCAGCCGCGGUAAUACGGAGGGUGCAAGCGUUAAUCGGAAUUACUGGGCGUAAAGCGCACGCAGGCGGUCUGUCAAGUCGGAUGUGAAAUCCCCGGGCUCAACCUGGGAACUGCAUUCGAAACUGGCAGGCUAGAGUCUUGUAGAGGGGGGUAGAAUUCCAGGUGUAGCGGUGAAAUGCGUAGAGAUCUGGAGGAAUACCGGUGGCGAAGGCGGCCCCCUGGACAAAGACUGACGCUCAGGUGCGAAAGCGUGGGGAGCAAACAGGAUUAGAUACCCUGGUAGUCCACGCCGUAAACGAUGUCGAUUUGGAGGUUGUGCCCUUGAGGCGUGGCUUCCGGAGCUAACGCGUUAAAUCGACCGCCUGGGGAGUACGGCCGCAAGGUUAAAACUCAAAUGAAUUGACGGGGGCCCGCACAAGCGGUGGAGCAUGUGGUUUAAUUCGAUGCAACGCGAAGAACCUUACCUGGUCUUGACAUCCACAGAACUUUCCAGAGAUGGAUUGGUGCCUUCGGGAACUGUGAGACAGGUGCUGCAUGGCUGUCGUCAGCUCGUGUUGUGAAAUGUUGGGUUAAGUCCCGCAACGAGCGCAACCCUUAUCCUUUGUUGCCAGCGGUUNGGCCGGGAACUCAAAGGAGACUGCCAGUGAUAAACUGGAGGAAGGUGGGGAUGACGUCAAGUCAUCAUGGCCCUUACGACCAGGGCUACACACGUGCUACAAUGGCAUAUACAAAGAGAAGCGACCUCGCGAGAGCAAGCGGACCUCAUAAAGUAUGUCGUAGUCCGGAUUGGAGUCUGCAACUCGACUCCAUGAAGUCGGAAUCGCUAGUAAUCGUAGAUCAGAAUGCUACGGUGAAUACGUUCCCGGGCCUUGUACACACCGCCCGUCACACCAUGGGAGUGGGUUGCAAAAGAAGUAGGUAGCUUAACCUUCGGGAGGGCGCUUACCACUUUGUGAUUCAUGACUGGGGUGAAG
rnacentral:rRNA from 1 species